GUGGCUCAGUGGGUUGGGCUGCUGCCUUCGGCUCAGGUCAUGAUCCCGGGGUCCUGGGAUCGAGCCCCACAUCGGGCUCUCUGCUCAGCGGGGAGCCUGCUUCCUCCCCUCUCUCUGCCUGCCUCUCUGCCUGCUUGUCAUCUCUCUGUCAAAUAAAUAAAUAAAUAAUCUUUAAAAAAAAAAAUCCUAAAACUGAAAUGAGUAAGAACUUCCAGAACUAAGAAGCUGCAUUCACACUGAACAAGAAUCAGUAACAUGGGACUAAAUGAACUAAAAAGAUGAUUACAGUUUUGUGAUCCUUGUUUGAAAAACAUUGCUGGUUCCUUAAUGUUCACUCUUCCUGAUUAAGGAAAUGUAAGAUUUCUAUGACCUACAGAAACAUGAUAAAAUAAUCAUUUGUAAGCAAAUUAAAGCAUUCAACUUUUCUCUCUAUCUGAACCCUCUGAAACCCUGAAAAAGGUCUCAGUAAGUAUUCCUUCUUCCAUGGAAAUCGUAGUCAUUUUCAUAAGUUCAGUAAGAAUCUGUUCUUCUUGCAACAGGACAUUGGAAACAUGGGUUAUUUUACCAAGACUUUGACUGGAACGUCAUAUUGGAGAAAGACAUGCAUAGAUUCAGAUAUGACCAGACAGCUUUAAGGAGCUAAGGUUGACUUUGUGAAACUGGAGUCAUAAAGCCCCUUGGAACUGUUGGCCUGAUACCUUGCUUACAGAGUUCCCAGCAGCCUCACCAGGUGUCUCAGGCCCUCACCAGCUGGAUCAAUCACACAGUGGAAAGCCCAGCCAUAUCCUACAGACCUGCCCCAGCUCCAUCUUUGAUGAGACCCCACUGACUGAUGGACAUCUGUUCACCGUGGUCCCUGGCUAUUGUCGCCAUGACACCAACACCCUCACCUCAGGAGUUGGACUUUACAUUGCUGCCCUGUCUGACUGGACUUUCUCCCAGAAACUUGUUAUUGUUAUUGCUUAUUGGGCAGCCUUAGGAACCUUAAGAUGGAUUGCUAAGUUCAUAGAAAACACUGUCACUGGGCAAACCACUCACUGUCCAAAUACUAGGCUUGCAGGGCCAUCAUAAUAGAUGAUAAUGAUGCCCUCUAAACUAGGUGUUUAAAGGGGCAUCAAAGAGGGGAAUGAUAGGGAAAAACUGUACUCUACAAUGGCCGACCAAACCAGCAAACCAGUCCCUGUCUCAAAGCCCUUCCAGGUUCUUCUUUCCUACCCUGUUUCCUGCACACGCCAAAAGUGCCAAGUAUGUGGAAGUAGAAGGGUAUAAAUUCCCAUCCCUGCUAAUGCUCAGGACUCAGACCUUUGGAAAAUAGUCUCCUCUGAGCCUGCCCUUGUUAAAUAAACUUCUAAUCCUCCAA
rnacentral:lncRNA from 1 species